rnacentral:lncRNA from 1 species
UGAACUUUGAGCUAUGUUACUUGUAUUGUUUUUUUGACAGCUUCUUUGACAAAUGCUGAAGUGGCAUGCACCUUAGCGCUUGGUUUGAACUUCAUAAAUUCAACAAUUAUGCUACAUGUAUAUCUUUUUUCACAUUAUUUUUGACAUUGUGCCAUGUAGCGACACAUGGUUGGACAAUUUAAAACACAGUUUCUUACCCAACGCUUUUUGAAUUCCAACGGAGUGUACACAAACAUCUAAACUAAAGGAUGUACACUUAGCAUUAAUUUAAAUUCAAAAUAAAGGGUUGAGGUGCAUGCCAUCUCAGCAUCCAUCGAACUUUCUGUCUGUACAAGUAACUUAAUUCUUGAACUUUUAAGUUUGUAUCUAAUUCGUGUAGGUUAUAAUUAAAACUAAAAAAGUUAUUUCUAUUGAAUUAAAGAAUAUAGAGACAUUUGUUAAUACAACUGACAAUCAAUUUUGUGCAGAGCAAGAACAAGUGGAUACCAGCACAGCAGCUUAUUAUUCAUAAAGAGAAAGAAGGGUGGACAUCGCACAAGGUUCUCUCUCUCUCUCAAUAUGUUGAUCAUUACUUUUCCUUUAUCUAAUGAAGUAAAUAAGGUUAUCCCAUCUUUAACUAUAUAGAUGAGGUGGUUUAUGUACAUGUACAAACGCUUAUUCACACAAUGAUAAACAAUCUGUAAAUUUCACUGAAGAAGAUGAUGAGCAAUUUAUAUGUUGAUUGCAUAUAGUGUAGCACCAUGGUGGUUGAGCUUUGAAAUGCGACUUUGCUGGAUACUGGUGGAAAGAUAGAUGCAAAAAACUUGGUAAAAAAUACACGUUAUAAUGCAUAUCUUGUGUUCAAGCUCAAAGAAGGGUCGAAAGGCCUAGAGUGAGCCAAAGCAAUAGUUAGGUUUGCUGAGGACAUAGCUCCAGGAAUAGAUCAUAGGCUACCGAUGUAUUCCUUGUCAGUAAAACAGGAGCUGACGUUGGACACGUUCUGCGAUCUCUAAACUAUGGGUGGAAGGAGAUUUAAUUUGGAGAUUUCAUGCCUAGCGAGGAAGAUAAAGGUCAGGUAGAAAUGCGACUCUUUGAGAAGGAGGAACGCAAUCCGAAGUCUGGUCUUAUCAUCAAAGGAAUUGAAGUUCGUCUGAAUUGAAUAGAACAAGUAUUUGUCCUAAUAUGAUGCUCUACUAUUAUAAAUAAACCUGACAAGUGCUAUUUCACGUGUGUUUCCAUGGUUUUUCCGUGGGUAAAAAACUUGUUUGGGUAUUGAAUUAAUAUGAUAGCUUCUAUUUAGUCAUCGAUCUUUUGCAUCCUCUUUCGGAGUUUUGGGUGCCCA